rnacentral:rRNA from 1 species
UACGGGGGGGGCAAGCGUUGUUCGGAAUUACUGGGCGUAAAGGGCGCGUAGGCGGUCAGAUAAGUCAGCUGUGAAAACCUCGGGCUUAACCUGAGGCCUGCAGUUGAAACUGUUUGGCUGGAGUGUGGGAGAGGAGAGUGGAAUUUCGUGUGUAGGGGUGAAAUCCGUAAAUAUACGAAGGAACGCCAAAAGCGAGGGCAGCUCUCUGGGUCCCUACCGACGCUGGGGUGCGAAAGCAUGGGGAGCGAACAGG